rnacentral:rRNA from 1 species
GAGUUUGAUCGUGGCUCAGGACGAACGCUGGCGGCGUGCUUAACACAUGCAAGUCGAACGGUGACCUCGGAGCUUGCUCCGGGUGAUCAGUGGCGAACGGGUGAGUAACACGUGAGCAACCUGCCCCCGACUCUGGGGAUAACCCCGGGAAAUCGGAGCUAAUACCGGAUACGAGACGCACAGGCAUCUGUUGCGUCUGGAAAGAAUUUCGGUCGGGGAUGGGCUCGCGGCCUAUCAGCUAGUUGGUGGGGUAGUGGCCUACCAAGGCGACGACGGGUAGCCGGCCUGAGAGGGCGACCGGCCACACUGGGACUGAGACACGGCCCAGACUCCUACGGGAGGCAGCAGUGGGGAAUAUUGCACAAUGGGCGCAAGCCUGAUGCAGCGACGCCGCGUGAGGGAUGACGGCCU